ACUUACGAAAUGGUACGCCGUACUCCUAAGCGGUAGGUCGGGUGUUCGAAUCACCUCGGGAACGCCA
rnacentral:tRNA from 1 species